UACAGAGGCCUCGAGCGUUAGGCGGAAUCACUGGGCUUAAAGCGUGUGUAGGCGGACUUCUAAGUACCUUGUGAAAUCCCACGGCUCAUCCGUGGAACUGCUGGGUAUACUGGUCGUCUUGAGCCUUCUAGGGGCUACCGGAACAAAUGGUGGAGCGGUGAAAUGCGUAGAUAUCAUUUGGAACGCCAAUGGUGAAAACAGGUAGCUGGGGAAGUGCUGACGCUGAGACACGAAAGCCAGGGGAGCGAACGGG
rnacentral:rRNA from 1 species